rnacentral:rRNA from 1 species
UUAACACAUGCAAGUUGAACGAGAAUUUUUCAGUCGAUUUUCUUCGGAAUGAAACCGAAAAAGGAAAGUAGCGAACGGGUGAGUAACACGUGAGAAACCUGCCUUUCACAAAGGGAUAGCCUCGGGAAACCGGGAUUAAUACCUUAUGAUACAUUAAUAUCGCAUGAUGUAAAUGUUAAAGAAUUUCGGUGAAAGAUGGUCUCGCGUCUGAUUAGCUAGUUGGUAAGGUAGUGGCUUACCAAGGCAACGAUCAGUAGCCGGAUUGAGAGGUUGAACGGCCACACUGGAACUGAGACACGGUCCAGACUCCUACGGGAGGCAGCAGUGGGGAAUUUUGCACAAUGGGGGAAACCCUGAUGCAGCGACGCCGCGUGAACGAUGAAGGUCUUCGGAUUGUAAAGUUCUGUCCUUAGCGAAGAUAAUGACAGUAGCUAAGAAGCAAGCCCUGGCUAAAUACGUGCCAGCAGCCGCGGUAAUACGUAUGGGGCAAGCGUUGUCCGGAAUUAUUGGGCGUAAAGGGUAUGUAGGCGGUUAAUUAAGUCUGAAUUUAAAGGCUGUGGCUCAACCACGGUUCGGUUUAGAAACUGGUUAACUUGAGUAGAUGAGGGGAAAGUGGAAUUCCAUGUGUAGCGGUGAAAUGCGUAGAUAUAUGGAGGAACACCAGUGGCGAAGGCGACUUUCUAGAA